CCUAACAUUCAGCAAGCAGCAGGGGCCGGCCUCGGCAGAGAAAGUCACCCGACUUCCAGGCAGGCAAGUCCGCUGCUGGCUGCUGCUGUCUUGCACGCUGGCCGGCGCUUGUGCCUUAUCUCAAGGGGGCGGGACAUCAGACGGCUACUGAACAGGAAAACAGGAAAAAAAAUGUUUUCCUGUUUCCAUCUGCAGGAGAUCCUGUGGGCCUAUUUUGAAGAGGGGGCCUGGAGCUGCAGCUCCAUCCGCCCCAUUGUUAAUCCGGCCCUGGCGGGAGCGGAAGCCGGAGACAGGAAGAACCGUGACUUCCGAAAGGGUGGCACCCUGGGGAUGGACCGUAGGCCGGACCUGAAUGCUGUGGGGAUACAAAUGUGGGAUCAUACCCGCCGCGGCAGAGGCGGAGAAAAUGGAAGCAGGAGGAAGGGAGAAGGCGGAACUAUUCAGGAAAUCAGGAGACCUGAACGCUGCUGAUGGGAAAGAAGAGAUUGGUUAUAAGAUGACAACACACCUCAGGCAGUGUAAGACGCAUCCAUGACUCCGGGAGAGCAUCAUCACCAAC